rnacentral:rRNA from 1 species
GAACGCUGGCGGCAGGCUUAACACAUGCAAGUCGAGCGCCCUGCUUGCAGGGAGCGGCAGACGGGUGAGUAACGCGUGGGAACGUACCUUUCGGUUCGGGACAACCCUGGGAAACUGGGGCUAAUACCGGAUACGCUCUACGGAGGAAAGAUUUAUCGCCGAGAGAUCGGCCCGCGUUGGAUUAGCUUGUUGGUGAGGUAAUGGCUCACCAAGGCGACGAUCUAUAGCUGGUCUGAGAGGAUGAUCAGCCACAUUGGGACUGAGACACGGCCCAAACUCCUACGGGAGGCAGCAGUGGGGAAUAUUGGACAAUGGGCGAAAGCCUGAUCCAGCAAUACCGCGUGUGUGAAGAAGGCCUUCGGGUUGUAAAGCACUUUCAAUAGGG